rnacentral:rRNA from 1 species
CCUAGGGAGGCUGCAGUGGGGAAUAUUGGACAAUGGGCGAAAGCCUGAUCCAGCCAUGCCGCGUGUGUGAAGAAGGCCUUCGGGUUGUAAAGCACUUUCAGUGGGGAAGAAAGCCUUGGGGCUAAUACCCUCGAGGAAGGACAUCACCCACAGAAGAAGCACCGGCUAACUCCGUGCCAGCAGCCGCGGUAAUACGGAGGGUGCGAGCGUUAAUCGGAAUUACUGGGCGUAAAGCGCGCGUAGGCGGUCUGAUAAGCCGGUUGUGAAAGCCCCGGGCUCAACCUGGGAACGGCAUCCGGAACUGUCAGGCUAGAGUGCAGUAGAGGAAGGUAGAAUUCCCGGUGUAGCGGUGAAAUGCGUAGAGAUCGGUAGGAAUACCAGUGGCGAAGGCGGCCUUCUGGACUGACACUGACGCUGAGGUGCGAAAGCGUGGGUAGCAAACAGGAUUAGAUACCCGGGUAGUC